rnacentral:misc_RNA from 1 species
GUGAAUCAUCGAAUCUUUGAACGCAAAUUGCACUCCCUGGUAUUCCGGGGAGUAUGCCUGUUUGAGGGUCGUUAGAAUACAUAAUCGCGUUGUAGCUUUCUUUUUUAGGGGAGAUUGGGUUGGACUUGAGCAGUUUUCGUCACGUAAAUCCCUGUUAAAGUGGCUUGAAAUUUGUCUUUC